AUCAGUAUUGCAUGAAUAUAAUUUGUCGAUAGAAGUAAGUAAAUCUUAACAAAUGUUUGCAUUUGUAUGAACAUAUUUGUCAUUGCAUAUUAUCGAGUUUUAUGAAAUCUAUUUUUUAAUAUACAGGGUGUCCCACCAAAAGUGGCCACUUCCUUUUAUCUUUUAAACUUAAAGAGAUAGACUGUAACAAAUAUAUAUCAAAUUAAAUGGUUCAAACUGAACUCUAUUGUGAACAUAAUGGUUGCUUCCAAAAGUUAUGUGUUAACGAAUGGAGAGGUGUCUCACAACCUCCGUACAAUACUUUAAUAGUGUAUUCUCGAGAUAAAACAGAGUCAAAAAUUCUAAUAUAAAAAUUUUAAGGCUGCAAUAGUUUUUGAGUUAUAAACGAUCAAAGUUUGCCAAUGAUAUCGCGUAGAGCUCGCGCGCUCAGAUCUGUAACUACACAUACACGCGUACCGAUCUGUCAUCUGUUAUUUUACAAAUCAGCAUAAAGUCGACUGUCCCAUAGAGCAUUGAUGUAUGUACUUUAAUCGUGUAAAAGCAUUUGUAAUUCUAUAUAGCCAUUACAAAAACUGGUAAAUUCAAAAAAUUGCGUUCGGUCGGUAGUUUAAGAUCUCCUUAACUUAAUAUUUUAAGAAACGAAGUUUAUUUUUGUUUUGAUAGCGCGGAGAACUUUUGUGGAAAUAAAUUUAUUUAUUUUAUCUGUCAGCAAUAACAGAUGACAGUGCGUGUGUAAAUGUAGUUACGAGCCUGAGGGUGCAAAUUCUACACAAUAUUAUUGGCAAACUUUGAUCAUU